rnacentral:lncRNA from 1 species
CCCAUUCGCAUUAAGUUCAUCUGGCUUUGUUUUACCCUUAUUUUUUCCCCCAAGAAAGCUGUGUCUUGAAUAAUAUGAUCUUUAAAGUUUAAGCUGCAUAUAGAAGUGCUUCUUCUUUUCUUCUCCACUUUCUCUGGUUCUGAAAUGCAAGAAAUGCAGAAUAAAAGACAAUUGAACCAUCGUAUUUGUUUUUUCUGCCCCUUCUCUCCAGUUAAAUGCUGUUGUGAUUUUGAUGUAAACAUCCUAGUAAUUUUCACAGGAAGUGGGUGCAGGGAUCCUAGCAGUGUGUCUGUUCAAUGGUACUGUUAGGCGUCUUUUUGUUCAAAGGAGGACUUGUUCCAACGCCCUGGCACUGAUCCAGUGCAGGCAGCCCGGGGACUUGGUGGGCCACCAGGGCAGGUGGUCCAGGAGCUGGACUGUGCACUUAGAGGGGAGGCUGGGUGGUCUUUUCUUUCUACUCGGGAUCUCCUGCUCUUAGAAGACCGGCCUUUUGGGAUUGAGUCUUUGAGGACUCAGAAGCGAUUUUGACCUUGAGCUGACAUUUUCAGAGUGAACGAGCUUGCUGAAAGGAUGGCAAUGUGCAAUGUUUGGCUCUCCCCAUGAUUACAGAGUUGAGUUUAAGAGACAGAGGGAGUAAAAGAAGAUGACAUUUGAGUUUUUGUGAGUCUUCAUCUUAUUCCUUUCUGCCUCUCGUUGGAACUGACUGCCAAUUCAGAACAAAACAAAUUGUGAAAACUCCCCUCCUGUGUCACUCACCCCUGGUCCUCGGGGCCCAGAGUUGGAACAAAUUAGGAUGGCUUUUGACAUUAGGCACAGGACAUAAAGCCACAAAAAGUUUGUCUAUCCACAUUUUAAUUUAAAAAAGGAUUUCACAUUUUACCCAAACAGAAAUGAUCGAUACCCAUGUACCCGCCAGCUUAAUCUGACUGAUGUUAAUAUUUCCCCUGUCUUAUCCUGUGUGCUCUAGAUGAUGAAUAGCAUCUCUGGUCUCUACACCUGGACUUCAGACAUUGCCAAAUGUCCACUGGGGCCAAAAAUCACCCUUUGUUAUAAACUAUAAUUCUGUAUAAAUUGUAGAGUCAGUGUAUCAACCUUCCUUCCAUCCCUCAUCAUUCCACUGUGGUCAUAUCAUUAGUCAAUGUGAGAUAUGCACAUUAUUAUGACUCUAGGUCAAUACCACUUGCAGCCAAGCCACACCAUGUGCUGUGUAGACUUACAUUUCUAUUCAUGUACAACUUCUCCUCCAAAGUUGGUAAUAGCCUCUUUUUAAAAAACUUUUGCUUGUUAUUAAAAGAAAAUCACUCAUUCAUUUUCAAGCUUUCUGCUGGGAUCCUGUUUCUUCUCAAGAUGAUGCAGGGCAGGGAAGGUUCAAAAUUGAGACUUAGCAUGAGAGGGUUCUUUGCUUCACCCAGGGAAGAAUUCAAGGUCAGUGGUGAGAGAAAGCAACUUUUAACAAGCAGUGCCUGGCUCAUAGGCAGUGUGCCCAGCAUCAGCAGUGUACGCUGACAACUGUAUUUAUACCCACUUUGAAUCACACGCUAAUUAAGAGGUGGGUUAUUGAGAAGUUUCUGGAAAAGAGGCGGAAAGUUUCAGGAACCAUUUAAGUUAACUUCCAGGCUGUUGCCAUGGCUUGUUGCCAUGGCGUUUACAAGCUGCCAUGGCACUAGUGGAAGUGUCUUCAUGGUAACGAGCAGUUAGGCCAACUGGAGGUUGCUUUCGUUGCUGUCUGCUGGUUUUGGGUGGCUUCUUCCCUGCAUCCUGUUCUGACUAGAUCCUGCUUCCAUC